GACGAACGCUGGCGGCGUGCCUAAUACAUGCAAGUUGAGCGAUGAAGAUUGGUGCUUGCACCAAUUUGAAGAGCAGCGAACGGGUGAGUAACGCGUGGGGAAUCUGCCUUUGAGCGGGGGACAACAGUUGGAAACGAAUGCUAAUACCGCAUAACAACUUUAAACAUAAGUUUUAAGUUUGAAAGAUGCAAUUGCAUCACUCAAAGAUGAUCCCGCGUUGUAUUAGCUAGUUGGUGAGGUAAAGGCUCACCAAGGCGAUGAUACAUAGCCGACCUGAGAGGGUGAUCGGCCACAUUGGGACUGAGACACGGCCCAAACUCCUACGGGAGGCAGCAGUAGGGAAUCUUCGGCAAUGGACGAAAGUCUGACCGAGCAACGCCGCGUGAGUGAAGAAGGUUUUCGGAUCGUAAAACUCUGUUGGUAGAGAAGAACGUUGGUGAGAGUGGAAAGCUCAUCAAGUGACGGUAACUUCCCAGAAAGGGACGGCUAACUACGUG
rnacentral:rRNA from 1 species